UCCGAAUUAGUGUAGGGGUUAACAUAACUCGCUUUCAUCUCUCUUCUGUUCUUCACAGUUGAGCACUGAACCGAGUAGCCCCGGGUUCGAUUCCCGGAUUCGGAA